UACAGAGGGUGCGAGCGUUGUUCGGAAUUACUGGGCGUAAAGCGCGCGCAGGCGGCUCUUUAAGUCUGACGGUGAAAUGCCGGGGCUCAACCCCGAGCGUGCCGGAGAUACUGGAGGGCUGGAGACGAGUAGAGGCAAGCGGAAUUCCGGGUGUAGCGGUGGAAUGCGUAGAGAUCCGGAAGAACACCGGAGGCGAAGGCGGCUCUCUGGGACGGUACUGACGCUGAGACGCGAAAGCGUGGGGAGCGAACAGG
rnacentral:rRNA from 1 species